AGCGAACGCUGGCGGCAGGCUUAACACAUGCAAGUCGAGCGGGCAUCCUUGUGGUGUCAGCGGCAGACGGGUGAGUAACGCGUGGGAACGUGCCCUUCGGUUCGGAAUAACUCAGGGAAACUUGAGCUAAUACCGGAUACGCCCUUUUGGGGAAAGGUUUACUGCCGAAGGAUCGGCCCGCGUCUGAUUAGCUAGUUGGUGAGGUUAUGGCUCACCAAGGCGACGAUCAGUAGCUGGUCUGAGAGGAUGAUCAGCCACUGGGACUGAGACACGGCCCAGACUCCUACGGGAGGCAGCAGUGGGGAAUAUUGGACAAUGGGGGCAACCCUGAUCCAGCCAUGCCGCGUGAGUGAUGACGGCCUUAGGGUUGUAAAGCUCUUUUCUCCGGGACGAUAAUGACGGUACCGGAGGAAUAAGCCCCGGCUAACUUCGUG
rnacentral:rRNA from 1 species